AAAGUAUCUCAAACUCUAAGGUAGCUGGUUGCCUGGAUGGAUGCUCUGGGAUAGAAGAUCGCAAAACGCCAUCAAUUUUACUUUAAAUUACUAGGAACCACUUG